GUGGCAAGGAAGGCACAGUACGAGAAAAGCCGGCCUACAAUGGAGUUCCGGCAGCGGCAGCGCCACCUUCUCUGAUGUACUCAGCAGCGUAUAGCUAUCCAACCUACACUACUGAUUACGGGUAUCACCAAGUCAUGUUGUCCAACCCACAAGUUCAACAGCCACGAUACUAUGAACAAGUCUAUGGACAAUCACAUUCACAUUACUAUGGGUAUUCUGUUCAAACACCAACGGCUACAUUUUUCACUCCCCCCCGGGCAGAUCGCUUCCCAGCUGG